UACAGAGGGGGCAAGCGUUAUUCGGAAUUAUUGGGCGUAAAGGGCGCGUAGGCGGCUUGGCAAGUGGAAGGUGAAAUCCCUCGGCUUAACCGAGGAACUGCCCUCCAAACUGCUUGGCUUGAGACCGGGAGAGGUGAGUGGAAUUCCCAGUGUAGCGGUGAAAUGCGUAGAUAUUGGGAGGAACACCAGUGGCGAAGGCGGCUCACUGGCCCGGUACUGACGCUGAGGUGCGAAAGCGUGGGGAGCAAACAGG
rnacentral:rRNA from 1 species